rnacentral:rRNA from 1 species
GUCGAACGAACCUUCGGGUUAGUGGCGGACGGGUGAGUAACGCGUGAGAAUCUGCCCUCAGGAGGGGGAUAACGGUUGGAAACGACCGCUAAUACCCCAUAUGCCUAUUGGUGAAAUGAAUUUCGCCUGAGGAUGAGCUCGCGUCUGAUUAGCUAGUUGGUGUGGUAAUGGCUCACCAAGGCUUCGAUCAGUAGCUGAUCUGAGAGGAUGAUCAGCCACACUGGGACUGAGACACGGCCCAGACUCCUACGGGAGGCAGCAGUGGGGAAUUUUCCGCAAUGGGCGAAAGCCUGACGGAGCAACGCCGCGUGAGGGAUGAAGGCCUCUGGGCUGUAAACCUCUUUUCUCAAGGAAGAAGAUAUGACGGUACUUGAGGAAUAAGCCACGGCUAAUUCCGUGCCAGCAGCCGCGGUAAUACGGGAGUGGCAAGCGUUAUCCGGAAUUAUUGGGCGUAAAGCGUCCGCAGGCGGCUUUUCAAGUCUGCUGUUAAAACGUGGAGCUUAACUCCAUCAUGGCAGUGGAAACUGAAAGGCUUGAGUAUGGUAGGGGCAGAGGGAAUUCCCGGUGUAGCGGUGAAAUGCGUAGAUAUCGGGAAGAACACCAGUGGCGAAGGCGCUCUGCUGGGCCAUUACUGACGCUCAUGGACGAAAGCCAGGGGAGCGAAAGGGAUUAGAUACCCCUGUAGUCCUGGCCGUAAACGAUGAACACUAGGUGUCGGGGGAAUCGACCCCUUCGGUGUCGUAGCUAACGCGUUAAGUGUUCCGCCUGGGGAGUACGCACGCAAGUGUGAAACUCAAAGGAAUUGACGGGGGCCCGCACAAGCGGUGGAGUAUGUGAUUUAAUUCGAUGCAACGCGAAGAACCUUACCAGGGUUUGACAUCCUGCGAACCUCUUAGAAAUUUGAGGGGUGCCUUCGGGAAUGCAGUGACAGGUGGUGCAUGGCUGUCGUCAGCUCGUGUCGUGAGAUGUGGAUAAGUCCCGCAACGAGCGCAAUCACGUUUUUACUGCCAGCAUUUAGUUGAGCACUCUAGAAAGACGUCGGUGAUAAUCGGAGAGGUGUGCACGACGUCAGUCAUCAUGCCUACGCUGGCUACCACGUGCUACAUGCUAGGACGACGCUGCAACCCGCGAAGGGAGUCAUCGACACCUAGUCCGUACUCGGAUCGGGACUGGAAUCUCGCACUCUGUGGAGUUCGGAAUUGUUA